AGAGUUUGAUCCUGGCUCAGGAUGAACGCUGGCGGCGUGCCUAAUACAUGCAAGUCGAACGCUUCACUUCGGUGAAGAGUGGCGAACGGGUGAGUAAUACAUAAGUAACCUGGCAUCUACAGGGGGAUAACUGAUGGAAACGUCAGCUAAGACCGCAUAGGUGUAGAGAUCGCAUGAACUCUAUAUGAAAAGUGCUACGGGACUGGUAGAUGAUGGACUUAUGGCGCAUUAGCUUGUUGGUAGGGUAACGGCCUACCAAGGCGACGAUGCGUAGCCGACCUGAGAGGGUGACCGGCCACACUGGGACUGAGACACGGCCCAGACUCCUACGGGAGGCAGCAGUAGGGAAUUUUCGGCAAUGGGGGAAACCCUGACCGAGCAACGCCGCGUGAAGGAAGAAGUAAUUCGUUAUGUAAACUUCUGUCAUAGAGGAAGAACGGUGGAUAUAGGGAAUGAUAUCCAAGUGACGGUACUCUAUAAGAAAGCCACGGCUAACUACGUGCCAGCAGCCGCGGUAAUACGUAGGUGGCGAGCGUUAUCCGGAAUUAUUGGGCGUAAAGAGGGAGCAGGCGGCACUAAGGGUCUGUGGUGAAAGAUCGAAGCUUAACUUCGGUAAGCCAUGGAAACCGUAGAGCUAGAGUGUGUGAGAGGAUCGUGGAAUUCCAUGUGUAGCGGUGAAAUGCGUAGAUAUAUGGAGGAACACCAGUGGCGAAGGCGACGAUCUGGCGCAUAACUGACGCUCAGUCCCGAAAGCGUGGGGAGCAAAUAGGAUUAGAUACCCUAGUAGUCCACGCCGUAAACGAUGA
rnacentral:rRNA from 1 species